rnacentral:lncRNA from 1 species
UUCCUAGCGAAUCAGAGCUCUGCAUACUUGAGUUCCGGUCCGGUUUCCCGCGGAGUUCCCCGCUUGGCGCUUGCUUGCGCGUCUUGGAGUACUGGUCGGAUUUCACCCCCAUCAGUUGGCGCCGUCUGUGACUCAAAGAUACUCACGACAAAAGCUCCUCGACUUUUUCGAAAAAAGUGAUCGACUUUUUUCCAAGUCGCCAGCUAGGGAGUCUUGCGAGGAAAUCAGCCAGCAAGGGAUCAACAUUUCAGAAGAUCGACUUUUUCUUCCAAGGAAAAAAAAGUCGAUCCCUCAAGGAGCUAGGCUUUCAGGCAUC